rnacentral:rRNA from 1 species
UACAGAGGGGGCAAGCGUUGUUCGGAAUUACUGGGCGUAAAGGGCGCGUAGGCGGCCUGUUAAGUCGAACGUGAAAUCCCCGGGCUCAACCCGGGAACUGCGUCCGAUACUGGCAGGCUUGAGUUCGGGAGAGGGAUGCGGAAUUCCAGGUGUAGCGGUGAAAUGCGUAGAUAUCUGGAGGAACACCGGUGGCGAAGGCGGCAUCCUGGACCGACACUGACGCUGAGGAGCGAAAGCCAGGGGAGCAAACGGG